CCUACGGGAGGCAGCAGUGGGGAAUUUUGGACAAUGGGCGCAAGCCUGAUCCAGCAAUGCCGCGUGAGUGAAGAAGGCCUUCGGGUUGUAAAGCUCUUUUGUCAGGGAAGAAACGGUGGUUCCUAAUACGGACUACUAAUGACGGUACCUGAAGAAUAAGCACCGGCUAACUACGUGCCAGCAGCCGCGGUAAUACGUAGGGUGCAAGCGUUAAUCGGAAUUACUGGGCGUAAAGCGUGCGCAGGCGGUUAUAUAAGUCAGAUGUGAAAUCCCCGGGCUCAACCUGGGAACUGCAUUUGAGACUGUAUGGCUAGAGUGUGUCAGAGGGGGGUAGAAUUCCACGUGUAGCAGUGAAAUGCGUAGAUAUGUGGAGGAAUACCGAUGGCGAAGGCAGCCCCCUGGGAUAACACUGACGCUCAUGCACGAAAGCGUGGGGAGCAAACAGGAUUAGAUACCCUGGUAGUCCACGCCCUAAACGAUGUCUACUAGUUGUCGGGACUUAAUUGUCUUGGUAACGCAGCUAACGCGUGAAGUAGACCGCCUGGGGAGUACGGUCGCAAGNUUAAAACUUAAAGGAAUUGACGG
rnacentral:rRNA from 1 species